CUUGGUGAAUAUAGCGCUUUGGAACCACAUCUUCCCAUAUCGAACAGAAACGUGAAACGAAGCAGCGCCGAUGAUAGUGUGUAUUCGCAUGUGAAAGUAGGACAUCGCCAAGC
rnacentral:rRNA from 1 species